AACGAACGCUGGCGGCAUGCCUAACACAUGCAAGUCGAACGAGACCUUCGGGUCUAGUGGCGCACGGGUGCGUAACGCGUGGGAACCUGCCCUUAGGUUCGGCAUAACUCCCCGAAAGGGGUGCUAAUACCGGAUAAUGUCUUCGGACCAAAGAUUUAUCGCCUUUGGAUGGGCCCGCGUUGGAUUAGCUAGUUGGUAGGGUAAAAGCCUACCAAGGCGACGAUCAAUAGCUGGUCUGAGAGGAUGAUCAGCCACACUGGGACUGAGACACGGCCCAGACUCCUACGGGAGGCAGCAGUGGGGAAUAGUGGACAAUGGGCGAAAGCCUGAUCCAGCAAUGCCGCGUGAGUGAUGAAGGCCUUAGGGUUGUAAAGCUCUUUUACCCGGGAUGAUAAUGACAGUACCGGGAGAAUAAGCUCCGGCUAACUCCGUG
rnacentral:rRNA from 1 species